rnacentral:lncRNA from 1 species
AACAAAAUCAACGUAGUAAUUCAUCUAGUACUCGCAUGAGCUUAGUUUCGGAAUCUACAAAAAUUAGUUUCUCGACAGUAAGAAGAAAUAAUUAUUUCAAUAUUUAUUCAGAGAUGAAUUCAGCGAUAGAUCUAAUAUCUGCGGUGGAAGGAACAACCCACAACGCAAUUUCAAUGGAUUCCACAACUGUUCAGGAAUCGUUAGCAAGCCAAGCUUCGCCUGUGGCCAACUCAACCCCAAUUCGGGCUGGGCGACUGACCGGUGCCUUUAACUCUCCGUUCAUGCCUCGCAUUCCACUAUCUUUGGCCCACAUCAAGGGACGAUCAGGUGUUAUUAGACAGCCUUCGGUUGUCUACUCGCCGAAUUUCUUGCGUCGCAUACCCAGAACUUUUUCGCAGAUCAAGGGACGACCACGUAGAAAAAUUCCCCAAAAUCUUAAUCCAAAUGCAAAAUAUACUUCGAGUUUGAAUGAAACCAACUCAUCGCCCGUGCCUCCUGUCAGCACUUCCCUUGAGCACGUGAGUAUAUAUUGAAAAACUAAAACCUAUUGUAAGUAAUUGUUCCACUCAGUUGUUUGAAGCUGAAUUGGUAGACGUGGAAGUGGUUGGGUCAGCUGUGGAAGCAGCUGGGUCAGCUGCAGAAGUUUUUGGAACAACAUUUACACUCCUUGGAGAAGCUAUGCUCUCGGAGGAGCUGCGGGUGACAGAGCCACAAGCCCUGCCAGCGCCGGAGGAGAUGACUGACACAAAAUCCGCAUUCCCAUGUUCUAUAUCAUAAUCAAAUAACAUUUAAAGAAAACACAAAACUGUUGUUGUUGUUGCCCCUAACACCACAUAAUGUACUACAAAAUCCUUCAAUUAACUUUGGC